rnacentral:rRNA from 1 species
GCUUGUCUCAAAGAUUAAGCCAUGCAUGUCUCAGUAUAAGUUCCUGUACGGCGAAACUGCGAAUGGCUCAUUAAAACAGUUACAGUUUAUUUGAUGGUCGUUCCUUACAUGGAUAACCGUGGUAAUUCUAGAGCUAAUACAUGCUGUUAAGCCUGACUUCUUGAAGGGCUGUAUUUAUUAGAUAACAGACCAAUAUUCCUCGUGUCUAUUGUGGUGACUCAUAGUAACUGAUCGGAUCGCACGGGCUUGCCCGCGACAAACCAUUCAAGUUUCUGCCCCAUCAGCUUUCGAUGGUAGUGUAUUGGACUACCAUGGCUUUUACGGGUAACGGAGGAUUAGGGUUCGAUUCCGGAGAGGGAGCCUGAGAAACGGCUACCACAUCUAAGGAAGGCAGCAGG